GGAGCUCUGUGCUUUCCUUCCUAAUGAAAAGAACUCUUCUUCCUGUCCUGGUGCCCACGGCCAAAUCUGAGAUUCUACCUCCAAAAUUCCCUAUAUCCAAGGAUCUCCCCUAGAUGAAAGGUGUCAGGACAGACAGCUCUGCCUGCCUUGGCCCAUGAGUGGUCACCUCCUGUGUUCUUCCAAGAAACUUGGGCCAUAUGGGGAAAGAUCUUCACAGCCCUGUGCAUGGUGAGUGUGUGGCUGUAGGGCAAUGUCCCCUGCUCCUGGAAGGCUCUCCUGAAGCCAGCACAGCCCACAGCCUGGGGGAUGUGUCAGGGGGACUCUCCCAGUUUCUCUGUGGCACAGGAGGAGGAGGAAGAGAAGGAGGAGGAGGACAAGGGGGAGGAUGUGCUGCAGAGUGGGGCUGCCCUGGGCACUGUCAGAGGGACAGGGCAGGAUGGCUCCUGCUGCCAGGAACUGCUGCAGGGGGUGAAGCUGGGGCUGCAGCCAGGGCUGCCCAGGGCUGUCCUGCAGAGCAGCUCCUGCAGCCCUCAGGGCUCUUGGCCAGUCCAGGGCAUGUGCCACCUGCCAGGGGCAGCUCUCAGCCUGCCUGGCAGCUCCCCAUGGAUGCUGCAGGGAGAAGCUGGAGGUGGAAGGAGCCACCCCUAUCAGGGAAGAUUCCUCCUGCUGUGGAGAUGGUGCUGCAUGUCCAGGGCUGCUCUCAGCUUUCUCCUAAAGGGAAGGGAAAGGGGCUGUCAGCUUUGGCUGUGUCACUGAGACUCCUGCACUGUCAGGAGUCAGUCACAUCAGCAGAUGUGCCUCAGAUCUCCCUCAGAAAGUCCUUCCUCAGCCUCCUCUCCCUACAGACAGCAGCAGCAGCAGCACCUUGGCUUGCAGCAUCUCUGUUUGUCUGGCCUACCCUUAAGGCCCUGCUGCCAGGGAGAUGCCCCUGGGCAGUGCCCUGUGCUGGGAGGGGUGUGCAGGGCAGGGCUGAGCCUCCAGGGCUGGGCUGGGCUCUGGC
rnacentral:lncRNA from 1 species